rnacentral:tRNA from 1 species
GGAGGCGUGGCCGAGUGGUUGAAGGCGGCAGUCUUGAAAACUGUUGUGCCGCAAGGUACCGUGGGUUCAAAUCCUACCGCCUCCGCCA